CGAACCACUGCGGGAGAGCCCGGCCACCUCAGGGUGAGGUCGGCGCCGAAGGAGCAACUCCUCCCCGAGAAACUCUCAGGCCGACGUACCGCGGUGGCGAG
rfam:Oerskovia sp. Root918 contig_13, whole genome shotgun sequence.